rnacentral:rRNA from 1 species
AGCGGCGACGGGAGAGUAACGCGUAGAUAUCUGCCUCGAGGCCCGGGAUAGCGGCGGGAAACUGCCGGUAAUACCGGAUAACAUCUCCGGAUCAAAGGUGUGAUUCCGCCUCGAGAUGAGUCUGCGUCCUAUUAAUGCUUGUUGGUGUGGUAACGGCGCACCAAGGCGAAGAUGGGUACCGGGUGUGAGAGCAUGGCCCGGCUCACUGGGACUGAGACACUGCCCAGACACCUACGGGUGGCUGCAGUCGAGAAUCUUCGGCAAUGGGCGAAAGCCUGACCGAGCGACGCCGCGUGCGGGAUGAAGGCCCUCGGGUUGUAAACCGCUGUCAGUAGGGAGCAAAUCUCUUGGGGUUAUCCCCUUGAGUUGAGCGAUCUUCAGAGGAAGUACGGGCUAAGUUCGUGCCAGCAGCCGCGGUAAGACGAACCGUACGAACGUUAUUCGGAAUCACUGGGCUUAAAGAGUCCGUAGGCGGCCGUGUAGGUGGGACGUGAAAGCCCUCGUCUCAACCGAGGAAUUGCGUUCCAAACCACAUGGCUUGAGGAGGAUAGAGGUGAGCGGAACUGAUGGUGGAGCGGUGAAAUGCGUUGAUAUCAUCAGGAACACCAGAGGCGAAGGCGGCUCACUGGGUCCUUUCUGACGCUGAGGGACGAAAGCUAGGGGAGCAAACGGGAUUAGAUACCCCGGUAGUCCUAGCUGUAACGAUGAGCACUAGAUCGAGGGGACUUCCACAUCCUUCUCGGUCGUAGCGAAAGUGUUAAGUGCUCCGCCCUGGGG